CCGAAGCAAAGCGAUGAUGUCAUGGAAUGGAUUCACAAAUACACAAUGCAGUUGUGAUUGACUUUGAGUCCUAUCUGAAUAUGAGACUAUUGUCUGUGCUGACGAUUGAUGAUAACACUUCUUCGACAAAAGCUUUGGAGCGUCCACUGUGUCUGGAUACAAGAGACUGUACAGGAUGCUCAGAAGAAGAAGAGGGGGAGUAGGUAGGCACUGCCUGCCUGGCACCUGCCCUCCAUAACCAGCUUAAAGGGCACAUACUGUACACAGCCACAGGCAGGACACAGCCACACUAGUACAGCCACAGGCAGGACACAGCCACAUACUAGUAUAGCCACAGGCAGGAUAUAGCCACAUACUAGUACAGCCACAGGCAGGACACAGCCACAUACUAGUACAGCCACAGGCAGGACACAGCCAUAUGCUAUGUACAGCCACAGGCAGCACACAGCCACAUACUAGCACAGCCACAGGCAGGACAUAGCAGCCAC
ensembl:lncRNA